rnacentral:rRNA from 1 species
UACGUAGGGUGCAAGCGUUGUCCGGAAUUAUUGGGCGUAAAGAGCUCGUAGGCGGUUUGUCGCGUCUGCUGUGAAAACUCGGGGCUUAACUCCGGGCCUGCAGUGGGUACGGGCAGACUAGAGUGCGGUAGGGGGAGACUGGAAUUCCUGGUGUAGCGGUGAAAAUGCGCAGAUAUCAGGAGGAACACCGGUGGCGAAGGCGGGUCUCUGGGCCGUAACUGACGCUGAGGAGCGAAAGCGUGGGGAGCGAACAGG